GACGGACGCUGGCGGCGUGCCUAAUACAUGCAAGUCGAACGGUCUUUUCUAUGGAAGCUUGCUUCCACUGAGAAGAUAGUGGCGAACGGGUGAGUAACACGUGGGUAACCUGCCCAUAAGAGGGGGAUAACAUCCGGAAACGGGUGCUAAUACCGCAUAGUUUUCUUGAUCGCAUGAUUGAGAAAGGAAAGACGGCCUUUGUGCUGUCGCUUAUGGAUGGACCCGCGGCGUAUUAGUUAGUCGGUGAGGUAACGGCUCACCAAGACGAUGAUACGUAGCCGACCUGAGAGGGUGAUCGGCCACAUUGGGACUGAGACACGGCCCAAACUCCUACGGGAGGCAGCAGUAGGGAAUCUUCCGCAAUGGACGAAAGUCUGACGGAGCAACGCCGCGUGAGUGAAGAAGGUUUUCGGAUCGUAAAACUCUGUUGUCAGAGAAGAACAAGUCGGAGAGUAACUGCUCCGGCCUUGACGGUAUCUGACCAGAAAGCCACGGCUAACUACGUGCCAGCCGCCGCAGUAAGAC
rnacentral:rRNA from 1 species